UUGGAUUGAGACAACGUACAACUCUUAUCGAUAAGCCAUUGGAGGGCAAGUCUGGUGCCAGCAGCCGCGGUAAUUCCAGCUCCAAUAGCGUAUAUUAACGUUGUUGCAGUUAAAAAGCUCGUAGUUGAAGUGUGGGUGAUCGCUGUUGUGUGACUUCGGUCUCUCGACAGUAAGUCACCCCCUUCCAGUAUCCAGUAGUGGGUAUUCAGUUACUUACUAUUGUGUGUUGGUCGUUUACUGUGAGAAAAUUAGAGUGUUCAAAGCAGGCGUUUGCUUGAAUAGAUUAGCAUGGAAUAAUAAUUGAAGGCUUUCGUGUUCGAUUUGAUUGGUUUGUUCAUGGAAGCAAGGUUAAAAGGAACAGUUGGGGGUAUUCAUAUUCACUAGUUAGAGGUGAAAUUCUCGGAUUUAUGGAAGAUGAACAAGUGGCGAAAGCAA
rnacentral:rRNA from 1 species